UACGUAGGGGGCGAGCGUUGUCCGGAGUUACUGGGCGUAAAGCGCACGCAGGCGGUCUGCUAAGUUUGGAGUGACAGUUGGUGGCUUAACUGCCAAAGUGCUUCGAAAACUGACAGACUUGAGGGCUUCAGAGGGACACGGAAUUCCGGGUGGAGUGGUGAAAUGCGUUGAUAUCCACAGGAACUCCGGUGGCGAAGGCGGCACGCUGGACCUUUUCUGACGCUGAGGCGCGAAAGCCAGGGGAGCGAACGGG
rnacentral:rRNA from 1 species